rnacentral:piRNA from 1 species
UGGGCAAACAGCUAACUAAGGUGCUUAU